GGUUGACCUCGGAUCAGGUAGGGAUACCCGCUGAACUUAAGCAUAUCAAUAAGCGGAGGAAAAGAAACCAACAGGGAUUGCCCCAGUAACGGCGAGUGAAGCGGCAAGAGCUCAAAUUUGAAAGCUGGCUCCUUCGGGGUCCGCAUUGUAAUUUGUAGAGGAUGCUUCGGGAGCGGUCCCCAUCUAAGUGCCCUGGAACGG
rnacentral:rRNA from 1 species